CUUCGGCGACUUUGCUCUCAAUUCGUUUUCUCUGAAUCAAUUCACAAAAUGAAACCUUAGUCAAUUUGAUCUUAACGUCGGUUUCCCCUUUUGCGUCCCCUUAAAAAUGUAGGUUUAUAGAGGAUUAAUUUGAAAUCUUGCAAUAAAGUCUUUGGGGAUUGUUUAGUAAUAUUGGACAAAAUUUUGCUGGACUGAACUUGAACUUGAAUCUGAGGAGCAGUGGGAUUAAAACAGAGUAACGUAAGAGGAAAGGAUGCAUUCUUUUGGGUACAGAUUAAAUGGCCUGCUAACAUUUUCCGUGACAAUUCUGGCACUAAUGUGCGCCAUCACGUCUCUCUCGGACAACUUCAACACUCUCUCUCCCUCUGCAGAAAUCCAGAUUAUGAACAUUAAUUGGUUCCAAUAGCAGCCACAAGGGCAUGAAGAGGUCAGCCUAACGAUGAAUGUAUCAGCUGAUUUGCAGUCGUUGUUUACUUGGAACACAAAACAGG